UUCGUGACACAUGGGCCUUACUGAAACGACGCCGUUUUGGCUGUGGUGCCAAAAUGAGAUGAAACGAUGUCGUUUCAUGCUGAAAGCCUCCCUCCCUCAACGUAACUCUAACGUAUGAUCUCCUUCCUCUCAAAACACAACAGAUAGUGAGGUUUCUUCUUCUCCGAGACAGUCACCAAUGGUGCAUGUGCGAUUGCGUUAACCGCACUGAUUUCAGUCAAAAACUCAGGCCCUGGAGCAUCGCUGUUGUCAUCUCCUUCAUACACAGAGUUGGGAAGGCUAAUUUCUCUAACACAGGGAACUGUGUGUCUCAAGUGUGGUGGCGAAGGUUUUCCAGAGACGUUGGUUUUUUGCAAAGAGUAUCAGGCUUGUGCUUUGCAUAGAUACUGUUUAAAUGGUCCUGUGGUGUUUUGGGAGGAAGUUAUAUGGUUUUGUGAGGAUUGUGAAGUAAAGCUCGUGAAGCCAUCUUCUUUUGACAUAUGUGUUUCAGCCUCACCCGAAAAUAGUGACUUCAUAAGCUUAGAAAAUGAUACAUACAAAGCCACAAAAAAGCUUAGGAAUUGCAUAAAUAGAGUGAAGAAAAGUAAUCAAUAGGCUCAUAAUAUUAUUGAAGAACGGAAGCUAAAUAAAAGAAAAAUUAGCAAUCAACUGGCACAUAAGAUGGUUGAAGAGAAGCAUGAUAAAAGACAAAUCAACAAUCAACGACAACAAAAGAUAAUUGAAGAAGAGAAGCUGAAGAAAAGAAAAGUUAUCAGUCAACAAAAACAA